GACGAACGCUGGCGGCGUGCUUAACACAUGCAAGUCGAACGGAAAGGCCCUGCUUUUGUGGGGUGCUCGAGUGGCGAACGGGUGAGUAACACGUGAGUAACCUGCCCUUGACUUUGGGAUAACUUCAGGAAACUGGGGCUAAUACCGGAUAGGAGCUCCUGCUGCAUGGUGGGGGUUGGACAGUUUCGGCGGUUGGGGAUGGACUCGCGGCUUAUCAGCUUGUUGGUGGGGUAGUGGCUUACCAAGGCUUUGACGGGUAGCCGGCCUGAGAGGGUGACCGGCGACAUUGGGACUGAGGUACGGCCCAGACUCCUACGGGAGGCAGCAGUGGGGAAUAUUGCACAAUGGGCGGAAGCCUGAUGCAGCAACGCCGCGUGCGGGAUGACGGCCUUCGGGUUGUAAACCGCUUUCGCCUGUGACGAAGCGUGAGUGACGGUAAUGGGUAAAGAAGCACCGGCUAACUACGUG
rnacentral:rRNA from 1 species